rnacentral:rRNA from 1 species
AGUCUUAGGAGAUUUAUCUAAGAUAAAACCUGCCCACUGUGGGGAAUAAACGGCCGCGGUACUCUGACCGUGCUAAGGUAGCGCAAUCAAUUGGCUUUUAAAUGAGGUCAUGUAUGAAUGGAAUAACGGAAUUUGGCUGUCUCUUUAAUUAAUCUAUUGAAAUUACUAUGUAGGUGAAAAAGCCUACAAUAAGAAAAAAGACGAGAAGACCCUUAGAGCUUGAUCUUAAGUUUAGGAAAUAUACCAUUUUCUUAAAAUAGUUUUGUUGGGGCAACAUAGGAACAUUUGAGAACUUCCUUAAAAAAAUUAACCGAUAAUUAUAAAAUUGAAUAAGGUACCUUAGGGAUAACAGCAAAAUACUAUAAAUGAGUUUGUGACCUCGAUGUUGGACUAGAAAACUAAAUGGCUAGCCGCUUUUUAGUAAAGUUCUGUUCGAACUGUGAUUUUCU